UGCUUAUAAACACAUUUGCAUGAAACUAGCCCACUGAAUGAGCAAUGGGCUGUGAGGUCAGUUCCUUGGUUUAUAAAAACAUGUCCAGAUGAACAGAAUCAACAAUUUGGGAUUUACUUACCUGGAUGAUUGAGCAUUCAUCAAGACAUUUCUUGGCACUGAUUUGAGGACACUAUUAGGCUGAAAGACAGUCUUUCCAUUCCAUUUAACUUUUUAUUGUAUUACUUUCAAUAAAGUGUUCUUUUUAUCAUUGAAUCCAUCUCUCUUGCCAGGAUGUGUUUUCAAACCCAGGUAGCUUUUAAUUUAAUUUGUUACAUUUUCAAUCUUUUUAUUUCCUAGGGGUGAAAUUCCCUUAGGUGACAUUGCCGCAACACAUUUAAAUAACCCCCCUGACUGUACUGCCACAGAGUAAAUAUUUCUGUUAUGUUCUUUUAAGUACAAUUACAACACAUAAGUAAACAAUUGAGCAAUACUUCACCUAAACUGGGCUGAGUCUCGUAUGUCUAGAACACACUUCAAAGUCUGAAGCCACACUAUCAGCAGAUGAGCCAUGAUGGAGUUUGUUCACGUUGCUGUAGCUGUGCUUGGUCUUCUGUCUCUUGGACACUCAGCUCCUGUGACAAGCUGUGAGAAUCUAAUCCAGCUUCGUGAAAUCCACGGAAAUCAGCUGGUGGGAAAAUGGACACAAAUAGCAGAGAGCACAGGCAUACCUGGAUCCAAAACGCUGACGAAGAUGCUUGUGGAGACCGCCUGGAUGAACAUCACUGCUGCCAACGAGGCUAAUACAUUCAAUAAUCUUCAAAUUCAAAAAAUGAUGGGCAUGUGCUUCACAUUGAAAACCAACAUGACUUUGGUUAACAACACUCUCAAUAUGGUGCACAAUUACCAAUAUUCUGCUGUCCUGCUGAAUACUGGCUGUCCUGACUGCCUUGUUAUCUACUCAAAUAACACCAUUGGAAGAACCGCAGUCAAAGCUCUCCAGCUCCUGAGUAGGAGAGUUAAAGUGUCUGCUGCUGAGCUGGAAGAGUUUACAAAGCAGGCAGAGUGUCUGAACCUAGAAUCCCCUGCUAUCUUGGAUUCAGAAAAAGGGUUUUGCCCAGAUCCAGCGCUCGCCCCAGGAACUAAGACUAUUGAUCUGUCCUUGAGCAACAUAAUGCCCGAUGAUCUCAACCUAUCGGAGAAGCUAUUCACUGAGAGUGGAAUGAAGACCAUUUUGGACAUAGUCCAAAGUAGUAUGGAUCUAUUAAAGGAAGACUGACGUGGUCACAAAUGUCACUAAGUGUUGAUGAAGAAGCCAUGUCUGUCAAGAGCAUUACCACUAAAAUUAAACAUGCUAAAAAAAUAUGAGUGGCCGUCAUCUGUCAUCUAUCUUCAAAGCAAUUACAUUUAGCUUCACUGAACUGACAUAAAAUUGAAAAUAUUCAUUUGCUUUCUGAAUAAAUGGCCCCAAAACAUUUCUACUUUCUCUAUUUUAAGGAGAUAAUAGUGCAUGAGUAAAUGCCGAUCAGGCUCCAUGGUGCCAGGCAGCCAGCACGGCCUGCUAGAGGAGAUUGGGCCCUCAGGCCACCCUCAUGAAGUCUGUUUUUGAUUGAUUGGUCAGACACAUUCACACCAGUGGCCUGCUGGCAGCUCUCAUUUUCUUCCUCCUUGCAUAAGGGAGGAGAUAUCCAUCCUACUGAUCGGUUAAGGACCUUCUACGGCCCUGUCCAGCUCACCUAGAGUAACUGCGUGUCCCCUAGUGUCUGCUUCAUCCUCUUGAGACUGUGCUAGGAGACACAGCAAACCUUCUUGCGAUGGCUCAUAUUGAUGGUAAAUGACCUGUAUUUAUAUAGCGCUUUAAUAGUCCCUAAGGACCCCAAAGCGCUUUACAUAUCCAGUCAUCCACCCAUUCACACACACAUUCACACACUGGUGAUGGCAAGCUACAUUGUAGCCACAGCCACCCUGGGGCACACUGACAGAGGCGAGGCUGCCGGACACUGGCGCCACUGGGCCCUCUGACCACCACCAGUAGGCAACGGGUGAAAUGUCUUGCCCAAGGACACAACGACCGAGACUGUCCAAGCCGGGGCUCGAACCGGCAACCUUCCGAUUACAAGGCGGACUCCCAACUCUUGAGCCACGAUCGCCCCGGAUGUGCCAUCCUAGAGGAGCUGGACUAGCUGUGCAA
ensembl:lncRNA